UACGAAGGGGGCUAGCGUUGUUCGGAAUUACUGGGCGUAAAGGGCGCGUAGGCGGUACUUCAAGUCAGGCGUGAAAGCCCCGGGCUCAACCUGGGAACCGCGCUUGAGACUGGAGAACUAGAGUUCGGGAGAGGAUGGUGGAAUUCCCAGUGUAGAGGUGAAAUUCGUAGAUAUUGGGAAGAACACCGAUGGCGAAGGCAGCCAUCUGGACCGACACUGACGCUGAGGCGCGAAAGCCAGGGGAGCAAACGGG
rnacentral:rRNA from 1 species